UUACGACCAUAUCCCGUUUAAACACCGGUUCUCGUACGAUUACCAGUGUUAAGCAAGGUCGAGCCUGGGCACUACAUAGAUGGGUGACUGCUUGGGAAGACCUAG